UACAGAGGUCUCAAGCGUUGUUCGGAUUCAUUGGGCGUAAAGGGCGCGUAGGCGGCGGGGUAAGUCUGGUGUGAAAUCUCGGAGCUCAACUCCGAAAUUGCACUGGAUACUGCUCUGCUAGAGGGCUGGAGAGGAGAUCGGAAUUCACGGUGUAGCAGUGAAAUGCGUAGAUAUCGUGAGGAAGACCAGUGGCGAAGGCGGAUCUCUGGACAGCUCCUGGACGCUGAGGCGCGAAGGCUAGGGGAGCAAACGGG
rnacentral:rRNA from 1 species